rnacentral:rRNA from 1 species
CACGUAGGGCGCAAGCGUUGUCCGGAAUUAUUGGGCGUAAAGAGCUCGUAGGCGGUCUGUUACGUCUGCUGUGAAAACCCGGGGCUUAACCCUGGAAAGGCCGUGGAAACUGAAGUGCUAGAGUGCAGUAGGGGUAGAGGGAAUUCCCGGUGUAGCGGUGAAAUGCGUAGAGCUCGGGAAGAACAUCGGUGGCGAAGGCGGCAUCCUGGACCAACACUGACGCUGAGGAGCGAAAGCCAGGGGAGCAAACGGG